rnacentral:snRNA from 1 species
AUUACUUCAUGGCUUUUAAACUAAGAUCAAUUGUAGUAUUUGCUCAUAACAAUUUAAUAUCUGAUAUAUCCUCUAUUUGAGGACAAUAUAUUCAAUGGAUUUUUUCAGUAAGAAGUUGGGAAUAGGAACUUGAAAAUUAUAUAUCAAACAAGCUGAGUCUGGGAGAUAGUUCACUUGGUUUUACAGGCCCAGUGUAU